UUGUAUAUUUUGCCCAUAUGAAUUGCAAUUAAUUAAAAAAUUUCCCAUGGCAAUAACAUUUAAUUGAUUCAAAAUCAUACCUGUAAAGCUUAAAAUUAAACAUGUUCAAACAGCUUGCUGUUCUGUCCAACAAGCUUCUCAUAUGCAUCCAAACACUUUGCUAUUUAAACAUGUUCAAACAGCUUUCUGUUUAAACAUGUUCAAAUAGAUUAAACAUUUAAUUAAUCAAGCAUUGCUACAAAGCUUAGCAAUGUUACCCCAACCUCUAGUUCAAAUCCAUUGUGGCAUUUCAUCAAACAUAACAUACGCAUCGCUACAACUCCUACACUACUACUGUCACUCGCACUUCAGGAAGAUUACAACAAUACUACUGUCACUCGCACUUCAGGAAGAUUACAACAACGAAAAUGACAAGACUACACCAUAGUCAUUUCUCUCUUCUUUGUCGAAUCCUUAACUGCUCUUCCAACAACUUUGUUUUUAUAAGCAAACCAGGAAUUAUCUGCUUCGAUCUGUUGCAAAUGGCGGGAUAAACCUAUUUGAAGAAAUCGCUCCCAAUAGUCUGUCUCGCUUGCAAAUUUUUAAUUUCAAACCAAUCACUUUCAACCUAAACAAACCACCUUCAACUCAAACGCCAUAAAUAUAGAGGAAAACUUACACUUCUUAACUCACAGCACAUAAACCUUCUACCUGGGUUCCAAUUUGUCCAAGAAAAUGCGAAUGAUGCAUUGCUUCCCGAAUUUGCAAACUUCGUUUUCCAUCCAACGAAGAAAUAAUUCUACUCUCUCUAAUCUCCUCUUUCAAUUUUUUUAUUUUAGAACCUUAUUUUUUCCAAGCCCCUAAAUGUAACAGAAAGAGCGUUGAUUUUGAAGGUUGAACGAUAAAAGUGGUGUUUUGAGUAGAGUUAAGGGUAAUUUUGUCAAUUGCUUUUUACACUUCACUGCUUGACGCAUCAAAUUCAACGCGUCAAGCUUUUUGGCAUCCUAGUCAGCAUUAUUUUUAGCAAUUAUUGGGUUUUAUACAUUCUACUCAUGUUUUUAAUAAGCCACGUAGGACGGAGACACUUAUAUAAAAAAAAUUAUCGGUUUCGAUACUUGAUUAUAAAUGUUUUCCGUUAAAACAUAGAAAUAAAAUUUUUUCAAAAGUUUAAGCACUAAAUUUAUAAUUAAGCUAAAACAAUACUCUCUUCGUCUCAUUUUGUUCGCAUGAUUUGAUAAAAAAAGGUAUAUUAAGAAUUUAGUCAACAAAAGUUAUUUUUCUCUUUUUUAACCUUAACUCUUUAAAAUAUUAAUAAAAGUCUUUCAUUUAAUAAUUGGAUCAUAAAAAUUAUCAUGAGAAAAAUAAUUGGUUACACGUAUAAAUUUAAAAACAUUGCAAACAUUUUUGAACAUUCAAAAAAAAAAAAAAAAUAGCAAGCAAACGAAAUAAAAUAAAGGUAGUACGUAUUAUAUGUAACAAAUGAUGACAUCUAAGAUUCGUAUGAAUCAAAAUCAAAAUAACUAUGCAUAAGGAAUAGUUUUUUGUUCUACUAAAACCUUUUUUGUUAUAUGUUGUUAUCCCUUGAGCUUGUUUGUGAUGUACAAUUUAUGCAAAAUUGAGCUAUUAAAGUUAAGAAGAGCUUUGAACCCAGAUUUUAAUUUGGCCUAUUCAUCCAAAAUGGAUGGAUUUCCUUGUUCCAAUUAAAAAAAAAAGGGUCCAAUUGGUCUUUUGAUUGAAAGUUCCCUUUGAAAUUGAUUCAUAUUUCAAAGUGCAUUUAGUAAAUUACAUAUCGCAAUCAAGUUUAUUAACUCAUGGUUUCAAUUUUGACCCGUAAUACUAUUAGAAAUUAGCUUAAAAAUCAAAAUCUAUCCGCUUUCAACUAACCAUUGCUGCAGAUUCUCUCAUCACACCCCUGGUGAUUUGCUCUGCAACAACAAAACACUUUCAAAUAAAUGCGAGCAUUCGGUUCAUUCUACUUAGUUUUUUUAAUCUGUUCGGUUUAUUUGGUCUAUAAAGCUUGGUGGUUUUUCAUUUUUUUAAAUAAAACUAGUGUUGCAACUGCGAAGCAAUAUUAGACGAAGAAAUAAUUUUUUAUAAAAUCAUUCAAAAAUAACAAAAUUGUAUAAUAAAAUAAUCGUGAAAUUUAUUACAAAAUUGUAUCUCAUUAAGAUAUAUGUUAAAAAAAACAGUUACAAUUGCUAAGAUGUGUCUUCUUAAAUAUUGUGUAAAGCUUUUUAUGCAAUAGUAAAAAUCAUGCAUAGUAUGACCUAGGGGUGUCAAAAUGGGUUGCGUAUCAGGUUCGACACGGAUUCACUUACCAUUCGAUAUGAUUAGGGUCAAUACGAAAACUAUUAAUUUAAUAAUUGUGUUAAAUUUAUCAACACGAACACGAUACGAAAAUUAGGUAGGUGACAAAAACAUAACACAUUUAAUCUACUUAAUAUCAUAAACAGGUUAAGUAGAUCGUGUUGACUCAUAUAAAACCCGUGUAACCCACUUAAUAUUAUAAACAGGUUAAUUGAGUUGUGUUGAUUUGUGUAUAAUCUACUUAACUUGUUUAUAAUAUUUUUAAAUUUUAAAUUUUAAAUUAUUUAACUCCAAUCAUAUUUAAAAAUAAAUUUUCAUACAUAAAAUGCAGAAAUUCUUCAAGAUUCAUAAUUAAAGUAAAAAAGUAACACAACAAUCAAAUUUAAAUAGGUUUUAAUUAGAGUAUUUAUACCUAAUACCAAAAUUACCUUUUUACUCUCAAAUAAACGGGUCACUUGCCUAACCUGCGUGUCAAUCCGUGAGAUGACAUAUUUAUAUUCGUGUCAUAAAUGGGUGACUCGUUUAUGACACGAAUCCAUUUAAACUGCCUAAUCCAUUUAUUUCGCGUGUUAAGGCAAAUCGUGUUCGCAUAUUAUGACCUAUUUUGACAUCCCUAGUAUGACCUGCAUCAAAAAAUUGAUGCACUCUUAAUGUUUUUUUUCAAUAGUGAUAAUAAUUUUGAGAAUUUAACUAAUUGUAUUGAAAUAAGAAAUUAAGUAUUUUUUGUUUUAUGUUUAUGAUUUAUUACAAAUGAUUGUGUAUUUAUUUGAAAUAUUAAUGUAUUAUAUUUAUUUAAUGUAGUGUGUCCUAAGCGUGUGGAUGUCUUACCUUUUUAAAAAUAUAUCGCGUACGUUCCUGUAUCUUUUGUCCUGUGUCUGUGCAAUUUAACUCCUAGUUUAUGAGACUGCUCCAUACACCAAGUUAAUCAACCAAGGUUUUUUUUAUUACCAAGAAAAAAUGAAGUAUGCAACCUAGCUCCUGAUUUAUGAAACUACUCCGCACACCAAGCUAAUCGACCAAGGUUUUUUUAUUACAAAAAACAAAUGAAGUUUUUUUUUUAAAUUCGUUUUUAUCUCUUUUUUUUUUUAUUAUUAAUGAAUGAUCAUAAAAAAUAAGGAAACUAAAUUCUUUUUUGGAAAAAACUUAUGUGGAAAUAAAGGAAAAAUAAAAUUAAUUUUUCUCUAUAAAUUUAUUUUUAUAGUUUUGUUUUAUUUUCCUUCUUAUUUGAAGAUAAAAUUAUCGGAAUUAUUUUCCCUUAUAUUCUUUUCUUAUUUCUAAAUAAAACAGUUUUUGCUUAUUAAUAUUAGUUUAGUUUAGUUUUCUUUUCUUUUUCCCUCUCACAUGACAUUAUCUGAAAAUAUAAAAAACAACUUAUCUUCUUACAACCGUUGUCGUUACAAUUUUUCUUUUUACAAUUAUGCUAAAUAACUGCUUUUAUUAUACUUGAUAAUUUGAAAAAUUUAUACUGAGCCAUCAUCUAAGAUAACUUCUCUGCUUUUAUAUAUUAUAUAGAUUUUUGGUUCUGUACGCUUGACAAAUACUGCUUUUUUUUUUUUUUUUUUUGGGGAAAAAUUCAAGGGUUUAAAUUAGGUUACUAGAAUCAAACCGUAAUAUAUCAAAAACCAGGGUUGUGGAGUACUAUUCCACUCAACACUUUCAGAUACAGAACCACGACUCUUGCCAUGCAACGAGCAGUCUGAUUCGCUAAACGAUCCAUAAAAGACAUAUAACCCAAAGAUAGCUCUUGUAUUUGAGCUUUACAAUCAGAAAACACAGAACGAAAGGGCGAAUUAUCAAGAUAUGAACUGUUAAUAGCAUUGACGACCUCCUGACAAUUCGAUUCCAUUAGAACUCCUGACAACACGAUAACAACUCACGAACCCCUAAAGCCUCAUACAAUCGAGCUUCAUUAAAACCAAUAUCGGGUUUACAACUCCAGCAAGAAAUGCCCAUGAAGAUCUUUGCAAAUAAAAGCAAAAACCUUCGUGUACAAUCUUGAGAUAUUGACGCGUUAACGUUGACUGUCCAAAGGAGGAGAUAUCCAUUUCUCAGUAAUUAAAACUGCUUGGUUACGACCUGCAGAAUCUGUAGAACCAUGAGCCAUUCCAAUCCUCUAAAUACCUAUCAACAACUCUAACAAGAUAGGAAGUAUUAGACCGCUUGUUAUUCUAGACCAGAUCAUUGCGAGCUUUCCAUAUAAACCAAAGAAGAGAUAGUUUGACAUAUGUCAGACCUGGAACAUAUUUCCUUUAACACCAAGAAUCGGUACCAAAAACUACCAACCUGCCCCCAGUAACCAACAGUCGAUUGCAACCAAUAGCUCCUAGUAAAGACAUAAUGAAUCAAAGCAUGAGCAGAGGUCUCAUUAGCCAUAUGACAAAUCGGACAAAGUGGAGACAUAAGGAUACACUUUUCAAUUAAAUUCUCUAAAGUAGGUAACACAUUAUUCAAAACUCUCCCGCAAAAGUUUCUAAUUUUUAGUGACAAAGAUAAACUCUAUAAGAAACGCCCCACCCUGCUGCUAUUGAGAAACAUUAGCCAGAACCUGAGAACAAAGUCGAUAACGAACAUAAUUUACUUCGUGUUAAAGCCACAUCUUCAACGUUAAAUAUUUUUGACAAUAAAUCAACAUCCCUACGUCCAUCCGCACCAAAUAAAUCAGCAACAACAGUAUCUUCUAUUCCCAUGUUAUUUAUCUGAACUGACAAACGAAUUAUUUGGAUAAUUAAGCCGUGGAUCACAUUAGGCUGUUGUUGAUAAACUGUUACUAAAUCAUCUAAAACAACUACGAGGGAAUACUUCCCAAGCCCUCCAGAUACUGUUCCAAACAUAGCUAACAUUAUUCCCUCUCUCUGAUUCCAAAAAAGAACUCGAAAAAUACCGAGCCUUCAUAAGUCUUGUCAUCAAUGAAUUAGGCUGAGUAAGCAUUCUCCAAUCUUGCUUAGCUAAUAAUUCAAGUUGAAAUUUCGAAUUACUCGAAAACCCAAUCCACCAUUUUCCUUCCUAUUACAUAUCUUUUCCAAGACAUUCACUGUAUACUAGAAGAGUUGCUACCCCAUUAGGCCACCAAAAAGCAUUUAAACAUCUUUUAAUAGAUAAACAAAUAUUCAUAGGUAACAUAUAAAUACUCAUCCCGUAAAUAAGGAUAGCCUGGGCAACUGACCAGAUUAACACUUCCUUUCCUGCUUGGAUAAGCUUUUUGAUUUCCAACUCUGAAGGCGUUUCCAAACUUGAUCCACCAAAAAACAAAAAGCUAUAUUUUUAUUCCUCCCUAAACUCAUCAACAUGCCCAAGUAAUUGGCAAAAGUCCUCUUUAGAAACCUGUAAUAAAGCACAGAGCUCCUCCUACAACUCAUUUGCAACAUUAGGACUAAAGAUAACCGAACAACUUGAUAUGAUGUAGCUUCAUAAGCUGAUAAGAAAUAUUUAAUCCUAACAACCUUUUCCUGUUUUGCCUUUAAAAAGAACAUGCUAUCAUCGACAAAAAGGUGUGACACCACAGGGCUGCACUAUUCAAUCCAAUACCAGGCAAAAGACCUUACCUCUCAAACUUUUAAGUAAUUGUGGAAACCAUUUUGCACAUAGAAUGAAAAGGUAAGGAGAAAUAGGAUCCCCUUGACUUAAACCACCGGAAGGAACAAUAGGCCUUAUAUCAUUGGCUCCACAAGCAAUAGAGUAACUAACAGUGUUAACCAGAAUCUUAGGAGUUACACAAUUCAGAAUCUCAUCACAAUGACUUGAUGAAGUAGUAAAUAAAGAACGAAAAUAUUGAAUAAUCAGACCAUCCAAACCUGUAUUCCACGUUUUCCAUUUCCCAAGCUCAUCAUGUAAUUGGGACAAUAUAUUCUUCCGUUUUCGACUAGAAAGCUAAAAACAUGGAAAAACAACAAUUUUUGUCACCAUCCGCCAACCAGAACUGUUUCGCCUUAUGUAUCCAAUAAAUUUCUUGUUGCUCCAAAAUAACAUAUAAAGCUUCACAGGCAGUACGAUACAUUUGGACAGGGAAAACAUUCGUAGCCCCCUUAUAAUGCUGCAUCUGCUUACAACAAAUAUCUAAUUUCCAUUUAAAGAUAAGUUGGCAUUGAAGAUCCCAAUCAUUCGGCACCUUUGAACAUGGCCAAUCUGUAAAUCGAUCAGUUAACCAGUACCACUGUUCCAUCUAUCACACACUAUUGUUCGACAAUCCUCAUCCUUAGUCAACAUAUCCUCGUGUACCAUCUUAACAGAUGCUGUUAAGAUAGCAUAAUAUGAUGCGUUUUGCUCAUUUUCAAAAUAUAAAUUAGUGAUUGGAUGAAGAUUUUAUUUUAAGGCGCCUCGAUCGUUUUCUCUAAUUCUCUUUGUUUUUCACUUUGAGCCGAACCCAUAUACUCAAAUUUGAUCAUGAGAAUUAAAAUUUUUAAUCAAACUGAAGUUGAAUUCCAAGUUUGGAGUCUUCUAGUUGAGUCAGUUCAAUCUCACAUUGAACUCAAUUUUAAUUGAUUUAUACUUCCUUAAUAAUAAUACCAUCAAUUAUAAUUAAGGAUGAAAUUGUAACAGAGAUUUUACUGUUACACAAAUACUACUUAACGAAUUGAAAUGUAGCAAUGAUAAAUGAUAGAGUCUAUGCUUUAGGAACUACAGGUGAUAAUAAAUAGUUGAAAAAGCAAGUUGAAGAAAUUACAAAAUAGAUAAACAAGAACUCCAUUUCCAUCUUUUGGCUUGAUCGUUUUCCAAAUCUAAGCUUAAUAUUUAUUUAUUUUAUUAAAUUAAAGGUCUCAAUAUGAAAUUGAAAUUUGUUUAGAUUAAUUUUUUAGGUGGAAAAUAAAAUCCAGCAAGGAUGUACACGUUAGCCCAAUUGCACUUUUUAGCCUAAAAACCUCUCUUCCUUUACCCUUUCCCAUCAAAAUUCUCAUAAAUCAAAAAGUUGGAUUUUGAACUGAACCAUGCGUUUAGCAUGUUUUGUUACUUGUUAGGAUAUUAAGACUGGAAUCUUUGUUUGAUUUUUUAUUUGAAAAAAUAUAUUUCACCUAAGCAAAUUUUAGUUCAUCGGCUGAAAUUAACAUUUAAAUGAAAUGCUAAAAAUUAAUAGUAUUUUCCGAAAAACCUAUUCUAAAGUGUAGUUUGAUAAGUUUUUUUACUUUUUAUAACAAUGCGUAAAUGAGAGGAUUUUGAAUUGAGUAUCUCCGAACGCAUAAUAAAACUUCAUUAAUUUGGUAAAAAUUAUUAAAUUAAUGUUUUGUAUGCUUUCUUUGCCUUGUUCAAUUAUUAGAUUUAUGAAAAAGCAAAAAAUUGCAACAUUAUUAUACAGAAUUUCCAAUUUAAGGAGUUAGAUUAGUGAUAAUAAUAAUAAUAAUAAUAAUAAUUAGGCUGCUAACUCAAGCAAAGGAAAAAAUGCACAGUGAGUUGAGUCUUAACUCUUAAAAACAUUCCUUCCUUCAAUUAAAUAAACAGAGCUAGAAUUUUGUAUGGAUGCUCUUGUACGUGUCGCACUGCUAUCUGAAUGCUUAUGGACAGAGAAAUAGUACAAUUCACUUUAAUUUUAAAACUUGUACUCAUUUCAUUCACAGUCAAGCAAGGUACACUGAAGCUACUGUAUUACUAAAUAUUUAUCACAUAUACGUGGAUUUUCCAAAUAAUAAAUUAUUUUUCAUUUUUACCCUAUGGUCGUUUAUUUUAAUUCUUUAAUAAUUUAUUAUAAUUUAAAUAAAUUAAAAAUAAUAUAGUCAAUUCAUUCAAAAAUUUAUUAUAAUUAUAUCAAAUAUAACAAAGUAUUUAAGAAAAAAAGAGAGUAGAUGCUGUCAUCGUAUCCAAUAUCAAGAAAUCUCAAAAGACCUUAUCUAGUGGACUAUUGGAUGAUGACAAGGAAAGUAAAAUUAUUUACACACAAAGAAAAAAGAAAGGAAAUAUCUAAAAUAAAUAAGAAUUGUUUAUGCAAGGAAAAGAUGCAUAAGAUACUUCACAUUAAUAGAGAUUUAUGUUCAUAAAGAUUUUCUGUAUUUAUGCUGCACUAAAACUAAUAGAGAAUGCAAGGAAUUAUUCACAAGUGCACCAGCAAAGAUAUUGCAUUUUCUGGUAAGAGAGGCAAGUUGAAGAAAGAGACAAUAGGUCUGUCUUUAUAGCAAAAUUUCAAAUUUUUCAAAAGUGAAUUCCCCACUACACUUAUUCUCAUACUUUUGACCUUAUUUAGAAAAAAUUCUUCCUUACCACUGUCAUAAACACAGUACUUUAAUUACUUCCCUACCAAUUCACUUCUUUAUUCCUCUCCUAUAUCACAGCAAUAACACAUGUAAAAAGAAAAUUAUAAUAAGCUAAUAAUACCCAAACAUUUGAACUGCCAAGAUUUAAAUUUUAUUACAGACCUAAAUAAUACGAGAAAAAAUAAACCCAAGCAUUUGCCUAAAUUGUACAAGUUUUGCUUUUGGGUCCCUCUUUUUUUUUUUCUUUUUUUUUUCUCUCUUUAGUUUUUCAACUGGGCUAAGACACUUUUUAAUUUGUUCAAUAAGAUGGUGAAAUUAAUUUUAAUUGGAUUUAUAAAAAUUAUUCUAAUUUCAUCAAAGUCAAUCAAACUCUGUAAAAUCUAAUAGAAUCUGUGGAAAUCCUACAAUUCCAUAAUUCCAUCAAACUCAACGAUUCUUUUAAAAUUUAAAAAGAAUCGGGUUUUGGCCAUAUUCCGGUUUUGGAACCAGAACUGGAGGGGUUCUAUCGGUGGCUCCAACACAUUUUUUCAUUAAAAUCUCCAAAUUAAACCCUCGUAACAACUAGAAAUAGCUAUAUAUAUUACAUUUAAUUAUGUUAAGAGUAUUUGUGUAAGUUACAUUUUUUGGAUUUUAAAAUUAUGCGAACAGUCCAAAACCGAUUCUUUUUUUUUUUUUUGAAUUAUAACUACGUCCGGUUUGAGUACUACGUCCGGUUUGAGUGCUGCAGGGUCCAUAUAAGGGGUGACUCUCCCAACGCAACAAUUUCCAAUCACUCCUUUGGUUAAGGGAGAAGGAUCCCGAACACUCCAAUUCUUAAUUAAACUUUGGAAUUGAUGUUUGAGUGGUCAAAAUGAAACAAUAAAAAAUAAUUAUAAUAGUAACACACGCAAGAAAAUGAAUCUUGUUUUGCUCUUUCAGACUGAGUUGAUGAAAACUAAAGCCUAGUGGGCGGACAAGAUUUUAGACUUAGUGUCAGCCUGUGUAGCUCUCCUUUGCUUAAAGAACCAAUGAACCAAAAGACAUGACAAGAAGGAAGAUGGAAUCUAUCUUUUAACUCAAAUGACAAAAAUACCCUCACAAGAAAGAUUCUUACAAUUGCAUGGUGAGCAUUUCUACAAUGAUACUUAACCAUCAAAACAGGCAAAAAUAAAUACACAUCAAAAGUAGAUCAACAUAUAUGCCACAUGUAUAAUCAACAUUUUCAAUAAUCGAAAUACUAGAUUUAUAUAUCCAAAAGGGCAAUAAACAUGUAGUUUCCUGACACUCAGUCAGACAAAUUAAGGUCAUUAUGGGAAUUGAGAAAUAUUUUUAAUGAAGCUUCUGUUAAAACAGGUGAUGCUACAUCAGCUUUUCAUAAUCUGCUAAAGCAACAAAGAUAGCAUAUAAGAGAAUUGUAAACAAGGAUUCACACAUACACACACAAAGUUAUAAAUAUAUAAGUGAAGAUAUCUUCAAUCUUCAAUCACUAGUUGCCAUGAUUUCCUUAGCAGAUGUAUAUCAUGUGGUGGCUGCUACAAUUCCGCUCUAUUUUGCUAUGAUGUUAGCCUACAUAUCUAUGAAAUGGUGGAGGCUCUUUACACCAGAUCAGUGUGCAGGCAUAAACAUGUUUGUUGCUAAGUUUUCAAUCCCCUUACUAUCGUUCCAGGUCAUUUCCAGCAACAAUCCCUACAAAAUGAAUCUGAAACUCAUAUUGGCUGACUUUCUUCAAAAAAUAUUGGCUGUUUUAGUACUAACAGCAAUCACUAAAAUCAGCUCCAGAGGAAGGCUAAAUUGGGUCAUUACUGGUCUCUCUCUUUCAACAUUGCCCAAUACUUUGAUCCUGGGAAUUCCACUUUUGAAGGCUAUGUAUGGGGAAGAAGCCGACUCGCUCCUCUCCCAGAUUAUUGUCUUACAAAGCUUAGUUUGGUAUAAUUUGUUAUUGUUUCUUUUUGAGCUCAAUGCCACCUAUGCAGCCCCAGUGACACCAUCUUCAGAAACCACAGGUAGGCUGUAUUCAGGUUUUGCAACCUUAUCUUGGAAAAAAAAAAAUUAUUGAGGUUUUGCAUUUUUUUGAGGGCAAUCCCUAACAUGAGCUAUAGAUACCAAAUUCAUAUGUAGAUCAUUCCAAAAUCUAAUUUGACAUCUCACAGAUGGACAGUCUUUCAAUCUCAAUCCAGUUCAGUCAACUUUAGUUAGAGAAGAUAACUCUAGUGGGCCCUUAAAACAUUUCAAUUAUCUUUCCAUUUCUUUCCUUUUAUGUUCUUCCAAUCAAAUUCUCUCAAUAUGAUUAAAUACCUGUAAUUAGAACCUUCAUAUAAACAUCUCCAAGAAAGUAAAUAAGAAUUGAAAAUUGAUGGAACAUGUUAAAAUAAUACAAAUGUGUAACAAAAUUGUUGAUUUUGUUUAAUGAUUUAAAUGUCCUUCAAAAAAAACAAAAAUGGUUUCUUUUCUGAUUCAAGAGGACCAGGAGGCCCCUGAAGAGGCACAAUUAAAAGAGGGAGAAGAUGAAACUCACACUAGACCAACAAGGAGAGUCAAGACCAUGCUCAUUCUCUUGACAGUGGGGAAGAAGCUAUUGAGAAAUCCGAAUUUUCAUGCUACUUCGUUGGGUCUCAUUUGGGCAAGCAUACAUUUUAGGUAAUUCUGCAGAAACAUGAAAGAAAAAUAGUUGCACCUUAGUUGGUUUCUAGUUAAUAAACUUGUUUCAGGUGGGAAGUGAAAUUACCAGACGUUGUUGAUCAAUCUAUACGGAUUUUAUCAACAGGAGGGCUUGGUAUGGCAAUGUUCAGCUUAGGUAUCAUAUCAUAUAUCAGUAAUAUUAUCAAAUAUUACAGGAAUUUAAAAAACUGGGUUUUUAAUGUCAUCUCAUUCUAAUAGGUUUAUUUAUGGCAUCUCGGACCAGUAUAAUAGCAUGUGGCAUUCGAAUGGCAAUAGUAUCUAUGGCAAUCAAGUUUAUUUCAGGGCCUGCCCUAAUGGCAGUUUCUUCCUUUGCCCUUGUUCUAAAGGGCACAGUGUUUAAAGUGGCAAUUGUGCAGGUGCAUAAAUUUUGUUUCUUUUGUUUACUAAUCAAGAUAAAAGGUUAAAUAAUGUUUCCAUACUGCAGGCAGCUCUACCUCAAGGGAUUGUUCCGUUUGUCUUUGCUAAAGAAUAUAAUAUUCAUCCAGACAUAUUAAGCACAGGGUAACUAAUAUUUCUAUGCACCUCAAACUCCAAUUUUCAAAUUUGCUCAUGCCUUAACUUAAUUUUCAGAUAUGCUUCUUUUUGUUGUAGGGUAAUUUUUGGCAUGCUUAUUGCAUUGCCAAUAGCAUUGGCCUACUACUCCCUAUUAGCAUUGUGAAAAUCCUAAAGAAUUAUGCAGAACCCCGAAACAGCAGAUUAGUACUACAUUAUUUCAAGGAAAGGGUCUAACUGUUGAAGAUGAACUUUAGAAGUCUCAUUCAAUUGGUUCAAUUUUUAUCUUUUUUUUAUCAGUUUUCUUUCAUAUGUUAAUGUGAUAUGAAAUAUUUUUCUUUUCUUUUUUUUUUUUGUUUUCUUUAGCAAAAAAACAUAAAUGUAUCUAUCAAAAAUUAGCAAGCUAAUGCAAUAAUGAAACAGUCACUUACAAGUAAAUUAGAUUCAAAUUAUAAUUAAAAGAGGGGAAUAAUUAUAAAUCUAAACAAAAUUAUAAAAAAAAUACAAGUCUCACUAUCAGAUAAGAUCAGAAUGGGUUACCCAGUUCAUUGUUCAGCUUCCAAGUAUUGAAACAAUCAGAUUUACUUCUUUCAUUGGCUUAAGAGACCAAUACCUAAAAAAAAUAAAAUGAGAACACAAACUAAUUAAGUGUGAACCAAACUCAAAACUUCCAAGAAAUAUUAAAAAUAACAAAAUAGUAUUUUACAGCAAAAUUCAACCUAUGAAUUCACAGAACAUGCAGUUGAUUUUCUUCAAUGACUAAAGUUUCCAAGAAAUGAAAAAAAUAUGUUUCUAAUUUUCUCGCGAAGCAAGUGGAGGCAGAAUAUCUGUCAAAACAAGUAAGAUCCAGUAUCUGGUUUUCGACUUACUUAAUUUGAAGCAGUGAACAAUCACCACAAUGGUUGGAUUUCCAGCAAGCAAUAGAGUCCAAAUAUAGGUAUGAGCAGAAGCCUGUAACUAUGUUUAUCUGUGGAUAGAAGAAAUUCGCGAGGGUGGAACGGUCAAUUGAAGUUCUAAAUGAGGCGCCCAAGGGAUGCUAGGGAUGCUGGGUCAAAAGACUCGAACCAUUAUCUUAUUAUUAUCCUUUCAGUAGGCGUUCCGUGGCAGCAUUUCAACUAGCGUUUUGGAAUUAAAUUACCAUUUUAUAAAAAUUUAAUUUUAUCGCUAAAAUAACUAACAGAUAAAUUAGCUAAUUUUUACAAACAGACACAACGACUAGUAACUAUAAAAAUUUUUAAACUAUUCAAUUUGAAUUAAUUUUUUAACUGUAGCUGAUUCUGGUGUAAUUUCAAUGAACAACUAAUUUCCACGAUAUCCAUAUUAUUUAUUUCAUAAAGUUAAUAGAAAUUUAUUUCUAAAGUUCCGUCUCUUUCCUUUAAAAAUUAAUGUGUAUUUGGAAAAAGAAUUAGUAAACUUUUUCAAUAUUUUAAAACGCUUAUAUUCAUAUAGAAAAUAAAAUUCAUUAAAUUUAAAAAUAAAAUAAAAUAAUCAAAGAAAUUAUGAUUUUAUUUUGUCUAAAUAUUCUUAAUUAAAUAAAUUGUUAGAAAAAUUUAAAAAAUAUUUCGAAUAAUGUAAUUUUGGACUAAAGUAAAAAAAUUUAAAAGGGAAAAACGUUGUUAGACUUUAGAGGUGCAUAUAAUGAACUAAGUGAUCAUAAAUUUUUCAAAAUAAAAAUAGAAUUUUCGGUUUGAACUAGACCGAGAGCGUCAUUUCAGGUUCAUUAAUAUGACCUUAAUUGGCCUAUGAAAUGUUGGUUCUAGAUUAAUUUUGAAAAAAUGAUAUCGAUUCAGUUCCAAUUCAUAAUACAGUACGAUUUGAUUUUAGUUCGAACCAAACCAGUGGCAUGCCUAAAUACAUGUAAACACCACGUGGAAUUAAAUAUAUGCUUGUUCAUUAAGAUUACGAGACAUCAAAUUUUAUUUUUUAAAAAAAAACAUAAAUUUGAUGAGAUAGGUCAUAUUUUAUUUUUAAAAUUUAUAUUUGCUCCCUCUUUAAAUGAUGAGUUUCGAGCAAUAUCUAAUAAGUCAAAUAAAAUAGAGGUACACAAGCAGUUGAUCCAGUUAAAAUCGAACCGGAUAAAGAUUUUGAAAGGCAAAUAAAAUUUCUUGAAUAAAAACAAAUCAAACCAAAAUUACGAUAAAAAUCAAAAUUGAUUUGAUUUGACUCGGUUCAAAAAAUUUUUUAGUUUUUAAUAGAAUUGAAUGGUUUUAAACCUAACCGGUUGGAUUCUAUAAAACUGAGAAUUGAACGUAUUGUGAGCAAAUUAACAAAACUGAACACUAUAUAUUUGUUCUUCAAUUUAAUCGAUCCUUUUGUUCAGCCCUAAAAUAAAAAAUGAAUAUCCUUAAAUAUACUGUGAAGCAUACAAAUUUUAACGGAUGAUCUUAAUUAAAGCGAACCAUAAAGCUCAAUUGAGUAUAAUGGUUUAAAUUUCGACUCUUCUUAGAAGGAACCAGUUUUUAUAAUGUAUUAGAAUCAAUUAGAACUUUAUUGAAUUGAGUUCUUGCUUUCUCUAAAAUUAAAAAAAUAUAUAUAUGAGAGAUUUAAAAUUCAAAUUUCUUAAUUUGGUAAAGAUUAUUAAAGAAAAAAAGCUUAUUAUAGACAAAUAAAAGAAUGAUUUUCAAUUAAAAACAAAUUGAAAUUUCUCACUUAUGAAGCUCUCAAAGCUUUUUCCAAUUUUGAUUUUUGUUAGUAGUAUCUACCAUCUAGACUAAGUAAAGUGUUGGAGAAUAUGUCAAUGGAAUGGGCAUUUAUUUAUUUGUCUGUAAAUGUGGUGUAAUGCACAAACAAAAGGGACCCACACGCUAACUUUUUACAGACAAUAGGAAUAUUUACACUGCAUGUAAAAUGUAGACCAUGUAAGAUUAAGAUAGCUGUUUUUAUAGUUGAACUAAUUCUUAGGUUGGUGUGGGGUCUAUAUGUUUCCAAAGUGGUCCCAAUUUUCCCUAUUAUCAUUUUCAGAUAACAAUUUUACAACCCAAAUUGAGUGCACAUAUAUUCACAUUGAGGAAUUUUGACAAGAAUUGAAGUUUGGCUUUUAAUUGUUUUUUUAAUACUAUUUUUAGUAUUUUAUAAUAAGCAUAAACUCCAAUUUUUCUAUUUGUAAUUCAAAAAAAAAAAAAAAUCAAUUUUUAGCUUAAUUUACUCCAUGAAUAGUGUAAAAAGUCCUCUGUUAUCAGUUUGUGAUUGGUAGAAAUUCAAAUUCAAGAGGUAAAUUGAACGAAAAUAAUUAAGUUUAAGUUUUUUUUUUCCCUGAAUUAUAAGUUAAUGGGAACAAAUUGAGUUUUAUUCUUAUAAUAUAAUAAUAUAAUGGAACAUAAUCAAAUAUAUUCUUGUUAUCUACAUAUAAUAUUAUGAUUAACAAGCUAAACAUGGUUAAACAUAAUCUUAUAAGAUAGAUAAUAAUAAUAGUUUAAUUUUAAAAUGCUGAUGCCAAAAAAAAGGUUUUUAGUUUAAAUAAUAUUUUUAAUUAGAAUAGAAAAAUUGAUAUUAUCAUCUUGUAGAGUAUUAAAAGGAAACAUGACUUCCUUAUUUGAACUCAUUUAAUUUUCAUAUUUUAACUAAUUUAUUUUUAUAUUUUGAACUUAAAUUUUCUAAUUUUUUUAACAAAACAAUCUUAUAAAACAUUUAAGUCUAUUUUCUCUAAUACAAAAUACUUAGAGGUUGAUUAUACACAACUUUAUAUUUAAUUAAUUAACUUUUUACAUUAAGAAAAUAAUAUAGUGAGUAUCUAAUUUUCUAAUUCAUAUUUCACCUUAACCUAUUUACUUUUAGGUCUUUAUCAUUUAAAAUAUAUUCAAAAAUACUCAAAUUCUCCAUCCUAAAAAUUGAAAAGUCUGCCUUAUUAGAAUUAAUUCCACAUAUGGAAGUGUCAUUUUCAUCAAAAUCUUGUUCUAGACAAGUGCCACUAUCACUUGCUUUAUUGAUUUCAUUCUCAAAUCUCAACAUUUCAUUACAUUCUCAAAUCUCUUUUACCAAAUUGAAUUUGACCUAAAAGUUAGUUGGAUAUAAUUUAAUAAAAGUCUCAUAUGUAUAAAUUCACCAUUGAAUUUUACAAUUUUAAUUUUGUGGCACCCUGAACUUUGCGGAUGACUUAUCGUUCACUUGAAUUUAUAAAUUUUGGUAGUAUUAAACACAUUUCGAUAUUAACAUCAAUAAUUUUUGGGAGUUUUGGCUUUUAUCUAUAGAAUAUCGACUUAAUAUAUAGUUAACAUGACUUCUGAAAUAAUAAUUUUUAAAAAUUUUAACUUUUUAAUGAGUGUUAAAUUUGCAGGUUGAAGUGUUCAAUAAAAUAAUUUUGAAAAUUGAAGUAUUUUAUAGAUGUAGUUUUAUAAGUUAAAAUAUUUAAUGAGUCAAGAUAAAAAUUAAGAGUUUAAAGUAAUAAAGUUCAGGUGAAUUUAUAUAUUCCUCCUUUAAUAAAAUUAAAAUGGUUACUCUACUAAAAUAAAAUAAUAUGCCUAUGUUUUUGGAUAUAGUGGCAAAUUAGAUUAUUUAGCUAAACCUCAUAAGUUAAAGUUUCAAAAAAAUAAAAAAAAAGUACAUAAAGUAAAUAUUAAUAUUAUACUGCAUAUAAAGUUCUUACACAUUUAAGGCUUAAUAACAAUACUAUCAACUCUUUGUUUUUUUUCCUUUGAGUCAGCACCCACCAACUUAUUUGGAUAAAGGUGGUUCUUUUUCACUCUUUCUUUACUUAAUUUUUUUAAAUAAUACAUUAUUUUUGUGAUCAUUUGUAAAUUUAUUCUCUCAAAUUUAUCAUAUAGUUGAUAAAUUUGAAUAUUUAUGGUAUCCUCUUAGUGGAAUUGUGUCUAGGGCUGAAUAAACGGUCAAUUCGAUUCAAAUUGAACCGAACGGAGGCUAUAAAAUAAAAAUCAAAUUUUUUAUAACAGAUCGAAUCGAACUGAAAUUUGAAUGUGAACUGAACUAAUCGAUUCGAUAUGUGUUUAUCGAUUUUUCCCAUUUCAGUUCGAUUUUAAAUCCAACCGAUGAAUUUCUAUGCAAUCAAUUCGAACCGGACAAUAAAUAUGAUUCAAACCAAAUGAACCAAUUAUUCAAAUCUCUCUUAAACACUUGACUGAACCGAACUAAAAUGGAUUGAUUCGAUUUUCAGUUAGGUCCAAUGAGUAGUUUUGCUCACCCCUAGUUGUGUCUUUUUAUUUUAUUGUGUUUGAAUAUUUUCGUUUCUUUCAUAGAGUUAUUCCUCGCUGUUGACGAUAUUAUAUGUGUGGUUUUGAUUCCUUCUUUGUUGGCACUUUAAAAUACAAGAUGAUUUUGUUUUUUUUAGGUUUGUUGAUUUAUUAUUAUCACAUCCUAUUGUAAUUUUUCUAAUUUUUUUUUUUUUAAAAAACGUCAACAAUCAUAUAUGGCUCACAUGAUGGAUUUGAUUUAGGCCAUUAAUAUAUUAUAUGGUUACCCACUCUCUACGCUUCUAAUUUUAGAUAUCUUUGUAUUUAAAUGCGAAAAAAACUCUUUAAUUGCAUUAUCCAACUCCAUUCCUUUAUCCAUUACUUAGCUAAGGUUCAAAAAAGAGAAUUAAAUAAUAAUAAUAAUAAAUGGAGUUGGCUAAGAUAGUUUUGAUCUUUGUUCUUUUUGUUUCCACUAUUAUUCCAAAUCUAACGGCAGCAGAUGAUACCAUUGGCGUUUACGACGAGGUAUGGAAAAAACGACAACAGGAAGCCAAGAGCCACCUGAUGGACGCCUAUGUUGCCGCCGCUACUGCCCAGUAAUUAUCCAACUUUUCAUUUCUUUUAAUCACGAUUAGAUGUUUUCACUAAUUUUUCAGAGGUGGUUUAGAUUGAUAGAAUUUGAAUUAUAAAAUUUAAAUAUUUUAUUAUUUUACUGAAUUUUUUUAUUUAAUUGAAAAAAUAUAGAUAAAGAUGGAAUAAGAUUUUCCUCAAUUAUUAUAUAUAUAUAUAUAUUAUUAAUGAAAUUUAAAUUAUUUAAUUUCAUUUGGAAAAUACUUUAAUUGAGGUUUAAAUCAUUUUUCUUAUUGCUUCAAAGGAAAAAAAAAAACAUUAGGCCUGGCCCAUUCAAUUAAACUUGGACCCAAGUUUGGGUAAGAAGUUUUGUUCUCGGCCUGGCUCGUGAGAGCUAACUCUUAGCAAGGCCUUUUACAUAGGACUUGUCCUCAUAAUAAUAAUAUAUUAUAUAUAAUAUUCAUUAAGAAUAUUUUGUAAUAAAAAUAUUACCUUUAAAAAAUAUUUUUUUAAGUAACUGAUUUUUUCUUAUUUUAAUUAUAACAUUGAAAAUUAGUUAAAAACUAAUUUUUUUUUAAUUCAAUAAGGUUACAAAUAUAUUUUGAAUUGGACAAAAUUUAAUUUUUUUAAUAGUUGUCAGCUAUAUUAGUUACUCUUUUCAUAUUUAUCAAAUGUUGAAAGAAGCGACGUUUCAUAAUCUAUUCUACAAAUACUAACAGUUAUGUUAAAAUUAUUGCCCGACAGGGACAUAAAUUUGAAAAAAUUAUGAAAUUAAAUUAAAAAUAGAUAAAUCUAUAAUUAUAAAAAAAUAUUUAGAAAGUAAAAUUUGAAAAUAAUGUCAUGUCAUUCAAUUGAUGGUUGCAGUGGAAGUGCACCUGCAAAUGCUCCAAGUGAACAUUCUCCAGGUGCAAAUGCUCCAAGUGAACAUUCUCCAGGUGCACAUGCUCCAAGUGAAAAUUCAUCAGGUGCAAAUUCUCCAGGUGCAAACUCUCCAGCUGCGUAGAAAACAACACUAGAGACCCUAAUAAUUCUACUCUUGGAGGGUGAUUUCUAUUUGUACGCAUCUUUAAUGGAUGAUCCGCUGGGUUACUAGACUUCUUUAUUUUAUUAUAAUGUAAAUUUAUUCAUUUUAUUUUAUAUUUUUUAAAAUUACUUCCAAAUUUCUUUAAGUGGAGAAAUGGUGGCAGAUUUGAAUUUAUGCACUGUGCCAUUAUUAUUAUUUUUAGAAUACUAAUCAUUGGAACAGCAAAUUGUUCCACAAAUUGCAAUUUAUUUAAUUUUUUUUUUAGCAUGGAAAAUAUGAUUUGAGCUUGGAUCUAUUGUCAUGUUGUAAUGUACUUACCAUUAAACUAUGCCUUGAUGUGCCAAUUUAUUUAAUCUUAGAAAUAAUAGUAAAUCAAAUGAAUUAAAAAUGUAAAAAAUUUAUAUAUAAUUUUCAAAAAGAUAAAAUAUAAAAUAUGAAACUUUAACUAUUAGUUUUGUUUAAAUACUAAAUAUUGGAAGAAAAAAAUUUAUUCGAAUAUGUUAAUAGCAACUUGUUUAGUCUUAAAAAUAAGCAUCGUGGUCCAGCUCAUACUAAGUUGUGUUGCCUUCUUUAGGUUUUUUCAUGACAACAUUCAUUGGCUCGAGAGCCUCUUGCUCUUCAGGCACAUAUUGAAUUUUUCAAUUCUGAACUUUAUAGUUAUCACCAUUAAAUUUAAUUUCAUUGUUGAGUUCAAGAACUAUGUUUUUCAUAAUGUAUGUCAUUGAAUAGAUACACAAUCUAUAGUAGACAAUAUUUACUCACUUUUAUUAAUAUGAAAUACACACAAGAAAAUUAUUUUUAAUAUCCAAUUGCACAUAUUAAUAACAAUUCACACCAUCCAUAUACAAUAUGAGAUAAUAUAACAUAGCAAAUAAUAAUAAUAAUAAUUAGAAAAAAUUUCUAUUACAUAUCUAUAUAUCGGUCAAAUAUACUAAUUAGGACAUACUUUUUAUAAAAUACAUGAUCAUGUUCUUAAAUUACGGUAUUGUUAGACACUUUUGUCCUUCCGUUCACUUUCACUUUUUAAGCGUUUAUCCGUGAGUCACAACACUAAAAUGCGAGCAAAAGAGAGAUAAUAUUUUUUAUGACUAAAAUACCCUCACUAUCCUUCCCCUCUUACCAUUCUCUCUCUUCAUCUCCCGUGACCUUCAGCUGCAGUAAUGGCGGCUGAGGAAUUGAUUCAGUAAAAGGACAACAAUUGCCAUGGAAUUAUUAACCAGUGAAGACAAAUAUUGGGACUACUUUGUUGGAUUAGAGUAAUUUUUUUAGGAGCUGGCUGAAAAUGAUCAUAAUAGGUGUGGGACACCUCCAGCUUCAAAAGUCGGCUAUUGACGCUUUGUCUACCAUCAAAAUCACUAAGAAGUCGUUGAAUUUGGAGAAUGAAUCAAUUUGCUACUUGCAAAGAUGAGUUCGAGAAGGAGCUGAGACAAAUAAAUGCCACGUAAACAUGUUUUGAGGAAUAUUGUAUUGUAGGUUUAUACUAGAAAAUUAUCCAAUAGUUUUUUUAAAAGUUAUCCAAAAGAAGACAUGAAAGACUCCCUUCGUUCUUUUUAUAUAGACAAAUUUUUGUUUUUUUUGUUGUUCUUUCUAUAUAAACAAAAUCAACUUAUUUGGUAAAUUUGGAAAGGAUGCCUAAUUUAAUUUUUUUUCUUCUAAAAAAUCCUAAAGUAAUGGCAGACGAAAAUUAAGUUGAGCAUUAAUUAUUAAGAGAAAUCAUGGGGAUUUUUUUUUAAAUCAAAUUUCCAUUGAGUUUUUUUUAUUGCUAUUUGUUUGCAAAAGUGAGCUCAGUUUAAAAUAGCUCGAGUAGUAUUGGGCACUACUUAUCAAUAUUUUGGUACAACUUCUUUAUAGAGGGACUAACUGAAUUUAUAUAUUCAAAGAUAUUUUUUCGUUUGUUUGCCUUUCUUGCAUGUUUAGAUAGAUCAUUUUCGACUAUCUUUCCAAUGACCAUCUCUUCUUCUAUUGGAGAAACCUUUAAAUUGAUUAGAAUUUCAUUGCAUAUGGGAACAACUUACGAGUUUGUAGACGAGUCUUGGAGAAAAUCAUUGAGAGUUAAUUGAUUUGGUUGGAUUCAUGCUGGACGAACAUAUUGUGGAUUGCAAUAUCUAAUUGUGUUCCAGUCAAAAAUUUAUAUAUAUGUUCUCGUUUUUAUGAAGUUAAGGAGACUCUAUAAUUCAAAUAAAAAAAUUGGCUCUUAAAUUUUGAUUAAUUUUUUCGUGCAAAAAGGUCAAUGAAGGGCCUAAAAUUAAGUUUCAAAAUUUUGAAUUUUCAUUUAUAAAUGUGAUUAGUUAAUAUCCCAUUAAUUAAGCAACAACCACAAAUAAUCCCUCCAAAUUUUUAGAGAGACAAUGCAUUUAUAGCUAUAUUAACCUAAGAAAUGUGAAUAAAUAUUUGCAUUUUAGAGUAGUAGUUAAUGUUAUUUUAGGGAUAAUAUAGGCAAAAAAGAAAAAAAAAUUAGUUUAACUAAUUUCUUGGUAUUGAUAAAAAUUGUGCGUAUAUAAAAAGAAGGGAGUAGCUUAAUACAUAAAUUUAAUCCUGAAUUUUCGUUCGUUCUUCUUGUGGCCCCUAAACUUUAUAGGAAUCCAAUUAUAACCAUACAUUUUCACAUUUAAAUAAUAACUAUAUUCCUCACAAAAAUAGCUUUGUAGAGGUUAAAUGAUUAAGAAGUUUUUCUCAGUUGAAGUUUUAUAUAUUUGUAAGGUGUAGUUUUUUUUUAACUCUAUUUUAUUUUAAGUAAAUUAUUUCUAAUUUCUAAGAUAAAAUAUUUUUGUAAUUUCUUAUAACAUAUUUAAUUUUCAUAAUUUUCCAUAUAAAACUCUAAUUCAGAUUCACAAUAUCUAUUACUUAAAUUCAAAAUGAUUCAUUCAUGAGAUCAUUAUAAAAUAUCAAAUUAAUUCAAAUAUAAAAAAAAUUAAAUAAAUGAUUAUAAAGUUUCAAAUUAACCAAUAAUUUAUGAUUAAAUAUAUUGAUUAAUUUAUUAUUAUUAAUAAAAAUUUUCAGUACGACAUUGAAAAUUUUAAAGUUUUCAAUAUAAGUCAAUAACAAUAAUUAUCAAGUAACAUGUAAAUGUCCACAUGCUACAAAGCACAAUAUACAGUAAUAAAGCAACUGUGACGUGGAUCUUCACCUAAUGAAUAUAAAAACUCAAAGCAUGAUGGUAAAAAAAAUAAAUAAAUAAAUAAACAUUAACGAAAAAACAAUUAUUAUUAAAAAAAAUAAACUCGAAAAAACAUGAUAGCAAUCAGCAAAAAAAUAUCCCUAACCUAAGAAUUCCUAUAAGUGAUGGGAAUGGGCCAGGAGUUCAUAAUUCCCGGUCUCAUCCCAAAAUAUUGGGACGUAAAAAUGAAGUUCCAAUCCCGUCCCAAAAGAUAUAUAAUUCCGUCUCAUUCUGAUUUAGAAAAGACAAAAAUUUAGAUUUAUGCGACAAAAUGGAAUGAGUCAGGACGGAAAUUAAUUAGAAUUUCCCAUAAUCUUACUAAAUUACUUUUCAUAUAAAAAAAAUAAAAAAAUUACUAUAAUCAUUAAUUACAAUCAAAUAAAAGUAUAUAUUGGAACCAUUUGAGUGGAGCCAUUUGUUAUUUUUGGAAAAAGUAUAUAUAAACAUUGUUAUUGGAAAAACUAUAUAUUGCAUAAGAUUCCUGCAAGUGUUAAGGAAAACGAAACGAAAGGAAGCAAACUUACAUAGCUGCUAUGGAGGAUUUGAUUUAGGCCAGUAAUAUAUUAUAUGGUUACCCAUUCUCUGCGCUUCUAAUUUUAGUUGUAUAAUCUUUUAUUAGUUUGCUAUUUAUACAUAGCCAAAAUCUAUAAACCAGCAGAGCAAUAAUAUUGCUAUGUACUAAUAAAAUCAAGCUCCUUAUGGUCUAGUGUGGUCUGAACCCAGAUCUUCUUUUGCACCAAUUACAGUGGUCCAUGGUUCAGUCCUAGACCUUCUCUAUCUAUUACCUAGAUAGAGUUUUUAAAAAAUUUUAUAUAUUGAAUAAAGAGAAUAAAGAAAAGAAAAGAAAAAAAAAACAAGAAAAGGACAGAAAGAAAGAAAGAAAAACAAUACAAAGUACGAUAAUUUUGUAGUGAAAAUGGAGGUGGCCAAGAUAGCUUUCAUGUUUGUGUUUUGGUUUGGUUUUAUUACUCCAAAUCUAAUGGCAGACAUGAAAAAAUAUGAUAAGGUCUGGCAAGAAAGAUCAGAAGAAGCCAGGAAGAACAUGAUGGAAGCCUACGAUCCUGAUCCUAUUGCAGUCACUGCAGAGGUCAACGAGCAAGUUAAUCAUCAGUAAUUUAUUCUACUUCAUUGUUCUCUUCAUUUCUUUUUCGUUUUGUAGGAAUCAGAUUUUACAAAUACAACUAUAUAUAUAUAUAUAUAUAUAUAUAUAUAUAUAUUGACAUCACAGGAGAUAAAUUAACUUAUAACUGGGUGGAAAUGUAAAAAAUAUUCUUCCUUUUACAUCACUUUAGAUAUGUAUAAAAAGAAUAUUGCGACAUAUCUUUUCAUACAGCUUUCUCAAACUGAUAUUUUUUAUAUACCGAAAUAGAGGAUUCCAACAUUUAGAGUCAAAAGGAAUAGUUACGUGAGGUUUUUCAAACCAGAAAAAAUCUUCAUAUUUAUCUGUCAAUAUUUCUAACUUUGAAUUUUCUUAUUUUCAUUCUGAUAAAAAAAUUUAUAAAAGUGGUUUAUUUCUAUGGCAUGUCUCUUUAAAGUGAAAAUGGAAUUCAUCCUUUGUUUUAUCCUUUCCAUUCACUUGGAUCUCUUUCGUUUUCGUCGAUUUUAUCCGGAUCCUCAUUUUCUUCUGAAAAAAGGGAAGAAGAGGAUCUUCUUCGGUGGAUCCCUCUUGUUCCGAUUUAGUCCCCUCCGUUUCGGAAGUUGUUUCUCUUUCUGCAUCAGUUUCAUGUUUUAGUUUAUUUCAUUAAGUAGAUUAGAGAAAGGAGACAUAACCCAUAUCUAUGAAUUAUGUUCUUGAUUGUUGCAGGAUAGAUGGAAAUGCAAAGACAAACUCUACAAUUAACCACACAAAAGGGACUAAUAAUUUUGAAACCGGGGCAGAAGCCAACAACACUAGGAGAAGCCUUAAGCAAAAAAAACAAAAAUACAAUGGUCCAUGCCAAGCCAACAACCCAAUUGACAAGUGCUGGAGGUGCAGAAAGAACUGGGUCAAAGACCGGCAACGGCUCGCAUCAUGUGCACUAGGGUUUGGUCGUCGAACGACAGGAGGCAAAGGCGGAAAAAUCUACGUUGUCACUGAUAAUUCAGACCAUGAUUGUGUAGAGCCUAAACCCGGGACUUUACGCCAUGCAGUGAUUCAAAAAGAACCAUUAUGGAUUAUAUUUGCAUGUGAUAUGAACAUAAAGUUAAGCCAAGAGCUUAUUAUGGCUCAUAAUAAGACUAUCGAUGGAAGAGGAUUUAAUGUUCAUAUUUCUCAUGGUGCUGGCAUUACGAUUCAAUUUGUUAGUAAUAUAAUUAUUCACGGUUUGCGAAUUCACCAUAUUUGUUCUACUUGUGGUGGAAUGAUUAGAGAUUCGGUUGAUCAUGUCGGACUUAGGACAGCGAGUGAUGGGGAUGGAAUUAGUAUCUUCGGAUCUACAAAUGUUUGGAUUGAUCAUGUUUCUAUGUCUAAUUGCCAAGAUGGACUUAUUGAUGCAAUUCAAGGAUCUACUGCAAUUACCAUUUCAAAUUGCCACUUCAGCAACCAUAAUGAUGUAAGUAACCACUUAAUUAUAUUUCCAUGUCUGGGAUGAAUGGUUUUACCUUUGAUCUUAGAUAAACUUAAUACAAUAAGCGAAAGCUAACUCGCCAUACCACAAUCCAUUACAUUGAGUAUUUUUUUAGAUUGUGACUAACUAUGGACCAAGUAAUUUGAACGUCGGCAUUGACGGAGUGAGGGGCUAGGGGUGGCCCCUCCUAACUUUUUUUUUUUUUAAAAAAAAUUGCCCACUUUUAUCUUCUAAUCCUGGCUCCGUCACUGGCCGUCGAAUCAGCAAUACCAUUACUAAAAUUGACCAACUUCUCUAAGAAAUUUUUGCUCGAUUCAAAGAGUGUGCAUGACUUUAUAGGAAUCACAUCUCUGAAAUUGCUAUAGGAAAGAAUUAGUUUUAGAAUAUGAUAUAUAAAUAAUCAAGUUUUUGGAUGAUUUAUGUGCAGGCAAUCCUGUUGGGUGCAAGUGAUAGCUUCUCAGGUGAUCAAUUUAUGCAAAUAACAGUAGCAUUCAACCAUUUUGGUCAGGGACUUGUACAAAGAAUGCCAAGAUGCAGAUGGGGUUUCUUCCAUGUAGUUAACAAUGAUUAUACUCACUGGCUAUUGUACGCCAUUGGUGGUAGCAUGCACCCCACCAUUGUUAGCCAGGGUAACCAAUUUGUUGCCCCAGAUGACAAGUAUAUAAAAGAGGUAACGAAAAAUUAUAACAGAACUAUAUUUGUAAUGAACAGUUUUCUGGUUCUGGAAUCGUUUCCAAAACCCUGAGAGAUUUAGAGUUUGAAUCUUAUAAACCACGAAGUUAUUACACCAAGUAACUCACAUAUUUUUGUGUGGUUAUAGGUGACAAAGAGGGACUAUGCACCAAUGUCAGAAUGGAAGAAAUGGAAUUGGAGAUCAGAAGGAGAUUUGAUGGUGAAUGGAGCGUUCUUUGUUGAAUCUGGAGAACCUGCCUUGCAUCUAAGACCAAGUAAGAAGUUUAUGAUCAAAGCAAAGCAUGGACGUUUUGCUACACAAAUGACACGCUUUGCAGGAGCACUUGAUUGUAAAUAUGGAAAAAAAUGUUAGAAAAACGGGCUCUGAUCAUCAAUUAUGAUUUACACAUUGGAUGGAAGAGACAUGCAUAUAUGAAAUUUGCUGCUUUUGUUGGAUGUGUGGAGAAGAACUAAGGUCAUGUUUGUAUGAUUUUUUUUCUUGUUAUUUAUUUUGUUUGGGGAAAAUGGGGAAAAAAAGUAGAUUGGGAUUUAGAUGGGAAGUGGGAAAAAAGAUUUUUUAUUUGCCCCAUAUUUUCCCCCUAUUUUUAUAUGUUGAGCUUGUAUUAGUAUUUUUUUUUUUUUUUUUACCUACUUUCAUUGUGUCUUACUAUUUUAUUUUAUUUUUUAAUUAUAGCAGGCAAUUAAUGAUGAAAAGAAUUGAUUGGACAAUUGAAAUCAAUUAGUUAUGUACAUGUAAUUUUGUUAUUAAUUUUAAGUAAUAAUGACAAUUUAUUAAAAACUAUUAGUGAUAUUAUUGUUUUAUUUAGUACCUUAAAGUAAUAUUAAUUAUUUUAUUAAUUAAUAAAAAAACUUAAAAAUUUUAUUAUUUAGAAAAAAUCAAUGAUAUUAUAAAUGUAAUAACUAAAAAAUAUCAUUAGUAUUAUUAAUAAUAUAUAAAUUUCAUCUUCAUCAAUUUCUAAAUUAAAAGAAAACUAAAUUAUAAAAAGAUCAAAAAAAUUUUAAAAAAAACAUGAAAAAACAAAAUAUAUAGAUAUACUAUUUACAUAAAUAUAGAUAAAAA
rnacentral:lncRNA from 1 species